UAACGCGUAAACAACCUGCCCUUCGGAUGGGGAUAACAGCCGGAAACGGCUGCUAAUACCGAAUACGAUCUUUUCGUCGCAUGACGGAAAGAAGAAAGGAUGGCCUCUAUACAAAGCUAUCGCCGAAGGAGGGGUUUGCGUCUGAUUAGCUGGUUGGAGGGGUAACGGCACAACAAGGCGAUGAUCAGUAGCCGGUCUGAGAGGAUGAACGGCCACAUUGGGACUGAGACACGGCCCAGACUCCUACGGGAGGCAGCAGGC
rnacentral:rRNA from 1 species